rnacentral:tRNA from 1 species
CCCUGGUGAUUCAAACAGCAAAGAAUCUGCCUGCAAUGCAGGAGACCUGGGUUCGAUCCCUGACUAGGAA